rnacentral:rRNA from 1 species
UACGGAGGGUCCAAGCGUUAUCCGGAAUCAUUGGGUUUAAAGGGUGCGCAGGCGGUCAAGUAAGUCAGUGGUGAAAUCCCUUCGCUCAACGAAGGAACUGCCAUUGAUACUGCUAUACUUGAAUAUAGUCGAAGUGGGCGGAAUGUGACAUGUAGCGGUGAAAUGCUUAGAUAUGUCACAGAACACCGAUAGCGAAGGCAGCUCACUAGACUAACAUUGACGCUCAUGCACGAAAGCGUGGGGAGCGAACAGG